AUUGGUGACCACUCUAAUUUCUGGGAAGAAUGACAAUCAUCUAGACUAUUCAACCAGUAAUCAACUUGACUAGAAAAACUUAAUUGAUUCUGAUUUAGAUUUAGUUAUUACUAUUAUAACAGUAUUUUCAUCAGUUUUUUUCACCAAUUAAUAUAUUUUUCUGAUCAAUGGUCAUCAAGACACUUAAUUUUUUGAUGGGAUUUUUAAUCAACAAAGGAUAAAAUUGAACCGAUUGGUAUAGUUGAUGUAUCGAAAGCUAUUUCGUACUAGGAAAAGUGCUCUUUUAAUUGUUAUCAAUUAUAAUUGGGAAAUUUUCAAGCCAUUUCGGAUCGAUGAGAGUCCAGAUAAUUUAUAUUGUGUUGUAAUAUUUUAACACUGAUUAAGAAACUGAGGAUUCCAAUGACCACAACGAUGCCCGAUAGCACUGAACCAAGUGCGAUUAUCUCAACACAUCCAAGAGCACCAAGAAUAACUAAUAUCAAACCAACACAC